rnacentral:rRNA from 1 species
UCAGAGCCAGAGCGCGCCGGCGUCCUUGAGUAUGGGCACGAGCUCGCCGGAGAUGUGCACGGCCAUGAGCCAAUCGAGCCCACCGAGGAUCCUCCCACCGACGAAGACCGCCGGCAGCGCGACGACAGCCUUGCCUCCAGCGUUCCCGGCCACCGCCGCGGCGAGCUCGGCCGGGAAGCUAAGUUGGUAUGGAAGAACUGCUGUGCCGCGGGAAAUCCUUCUCUAUACAAGUUCUCGUACGAGGUUUUUUAACAGAACUUCGAUAGGCGAGGGUUCGUCACCUCCCUGCCGUCGUCCCUCGCCGCCGCGUCGUCGAGCCGCGAGCCCGCUCUCCUGUCCGGCCGCGCCCUCGGCCUCGGCCUGCUCGGACCGCCGCGGGCACGCCGGCAGCCGGUCAGCGUUGUAGGGGAUCGCUUGGUACAU